rnacentral:rRNA from 1 species
AGUGAACGCUGGCGGUAGGCCUAACACAUGCAAGUCGAACGGCAGCACAGUAAGAGCUUGCUCUUACGGGUGGCGAGUGGCGGACGGGUGAGGAAUACAUCGGAAUCUACUUUUUCGUGGGGGAUAACGUAGGGAAACUUACGCUAAUACCGCAUACGACCUACGGGUGAAAGCAGGGGAUCUUCGGACCUUGCGCGAUUGAAUGAGCCGAUGUCGGAUUAGCUAGUUGGCGGGGUAAAGGCCCACCAAGGCGACGAUCCGUAGCUGGUCUGAGAGGAUGAUCAACCACACAGGAACUGAGACCCGGUCCAGACUCCUACGGAAGGCCGCAAUGGCGAAUAUUGGACAAAGGGGGCAAUCCUGCUCCAGACGUACCGCGUGGGUGGAGAAGGGAUUCGGGUUGUAAAGCCCUUUUGUUGGGAAAGAAAGGCUGCAGGUUAAUACACCGCUGUUCUGACGGUACCCAAAGAAUAAGCACCGGCUAAAUUCGUG